rnacentral:rRNA from 1 species
UCCUGGCUCAGGAUGAACGCUGGCGGCGUGCCUAAUACAUGCAAGUCGAACGCUUCACUUCGGUGAAGAGUGGCGAACGGGUGAGUAAUACAUAAGUAACCUGGCAUCUACAGGGGGAUAACUGAUGGAAACGUCAGCUAAGACCGCAUAGGUGUAGAGAUCGCAUGAACUCUAUAUGAAAAGUGCUACGGGACUGGUAGAUGAUGGACUUAUGGCGCAUUAGCUGGUUGGUAGGGUAACGGCCUACCAAGGCGACGAUGCGUAGCCGACCUGAGAGGGUGACCGGCCACACUGGGACUGAGACACGGCCCAGACUCCUACGGGAGGCAGCAGUAGGGAAUUUUCGGCAAUGGGGGAAACCCUGACCGAGCAACGCCGCGUGAAGGAAGAAGUAAUUCGUUAUGUAAACUUCUGUCAUAGAGGAAGAACGGUGGAUAUAGGGAAUGAUAUCCAAGUGACGGUACUCUAUAAGAAAGCCACGGCUAACUACGUGCCAGCAGCCGCGGUAAUACGUAGGUGGCGAGCGUUAUCCGGAAUUAUUGGGCGUAAAGAGGGAGCAGGCGGCACUAAGGGUCUGUGGUGAAAGAUCGAAGCUUAACUUCGGUAAGCCAUGGAAACCGUAGAGCUAGAGUGUGUGAGAGGAUCGUGGAAUUCCAUGUGUAGCGGUGAAAUGCGUAGAUAUAUGGAGGAACACCAGUGGCGAAGGCGACGAUCUGGCGCAUAACUGACGCUCAGUCCCGAAAGCGUGGGGAGCAAAUAGGAUUAGAUACCCUAGUAGUCCACGCCGUAAACGAUGAGUACUAAGUGUUGGGAGUCAAAUCUCAGUGCUGCAGUUAACGCAAUAAGUACUCCGCCUGAGUAGUACGUUCGCAAGAAUGAAACUCAAAGGAAUUGACGGGGG